CUUGGUCAUUUAGAGGAAGUAAAAGUCGUAACAAGGUCUCCGUAGGUGAACCUGCGGAGGGAUCAUUACAAGUGACCCCGGUCUAACCACCGGGAUGUUCAUAACCCUUUGUUGUCCGACUCUGUUGCCUCCGGGGCGACCCUGCCUUCGGGCGGGGGCUCCGGGUGGACACUUCAAACUCUUGCGUAACUUUGCAGUCUGAGUAAACUUAAUUAAUAAAUUAAAACUUUUAACAACGGAUCUCUUGGUUCUGGCAUCGAUGAAGAACGCAGCGAAAUGCGAUAAGUAAUGUGAAUUGCAGAAUUCAGUGAAUCAUCGAAUCUUUGAACGCACAUUGCGCCCCCUGGUAUUCCGGGGGGCAUGCCUGUUCGAGCGUCAUUUCACCACUCAAGCCUCGCUUGGUAUUGGGCAACGCGGUCCGCCGCGUGCCUCAAAUCGACCGGCUGGGUCUUCUGUCCCCUAAGCGUUGUGGAAACUAUUCGCUAAAGGGUGUUCGGGAGGCUACGCCGUAAAACAACCCCAUUUCUAAGGUUGACCUCGGAUCAGGUAGGGAUACCCGCUGAACUUAAGCAUAUCAAUAAGCGGAGGAAAAGAAACCAACAGGGAUUGCUCUAGUAACGGCGAGUGAAGCAGCAAUAGCUCAAAUUUGAAAUCUGGCGUCUUCGACGUCCGAGUUGUAAUUUGUAGAGGAUGCUUCUGAGUAACCACCGACCUAAGUUCCUUGGAACAGGACGUCAUAGAGGGUGAGAAUCCCGUAUGCGGUCGGAAAGGUGCUCUAUACGUAGCUCCUUCGACGAGUCGAGUUGUUUGGGAAU
rnacentral:sRNA from 1 species